UAAAAGUCACAACUCUUCAUAAAAGUCACAUCAUUUCAUGAAAGGGGAUGACUAUUUUUGUGUAAGUCUUCAUAAAAGGCGCAACUCUUCAUAAAAGUCACAACUCUUCAUGAAAAGGGAAGGCUAUUUUUGGAAACAAAUAAAUUUAAAAGAAAAUUCUAGCUUGUGGUGACGCCACGUAGGCGGGCCAAGGGUUCUCUUUUAUAUAAAUAUAUUAUAUGAUAUGAUAUGAUUGGUUAUUAAGUUAGAAGCCCAAAAAUUUUAAAAGAAGAAAAGAAAAAGACCAAAAGAAAUCUUCAGCCCAACAAAAGUUCACCUAACAAUGACUCAAGAAGAAGCCCUUUUCCACAGUCCACUCUUACACUCCCCCUCCACAUAAGCGUCACGCGAGCAGCCAUGUUGAUGUCACAUAAGGUGUCAACGUUCCAAAACACACAUGCCAAACACACGUUUUCCAUACGCUCUUCACAUGUCUUCCAUGACCAACGCACGCUCUACCACUUGUCUCCUCUGCAUUGGUUGGUCAAUUCAAAUUAAAACCCUAAGAUCCCAAAUUCCUUGAACUACCUAUUUUACCCUCAUUUAAUCUACCAAAAUUUUCCUAAAUAUCCUUGGAUCCCUAUAGACUGUCCCUCUUCUCUUUUGUGUCAUAGAAGCAGCCAAUCUUUGAUGAAAUUUUGGCUCUUUCACCAUUUUUUGACAAAGUUCCAUCUCGAUCCUUGAAGGCAGAGGUGUGUAUCUAUUUCGAGUAACUAUUUGAAAAAAUCAAGAGGCGAUUUUGAGGGUUUUGACCAAAGAUUCAACUUUUCAUUGUUUUCCCUGGAUUCUUGUGCAUGGUCAAGUUCGAGGGUAGAUUUGAGGUCAAGAGAGCUCCGUUCACUGUCCCACAACAGAAAGUGCAUUUGGAGUUGUGAUAUGACUCCAUCUUCGUCCAAAUAAGAGAAGCGAUUAACAUAUGCAUUUUUGCUCGUGUCUAGAGAGAUUUACUCAUCCCAAAAGAAAAUCAGGCAAUUCCUCCUCAUCUCAAAGCUUUACAUUUUUAUAAUACAUACGUAUAUGUUGUUAUCUUUUGGCUAUUGUUUUACAUAUUAUUUUGCACCUAUAUUUUUGUUUGUUUUAAUUUAUGUUUGAAUUUGUGCAAAUCAACUAAAAAUGAUAGUAAGAUGUAGCCGCUCACCUUUCUUUUAGAUAUUGAGUUUAGUAUAUUAAUUUGGCUUAAAGUCGCUUUUUACUUAAAUUUUACUUGUUACUUGGCUCGUUUGUUGGAUUAAGAAGGCAUUACUUUGGAAAGAAGGUGGACCUUUUCUUAAUAGAUUUGUAUCGACUUUUAAGUUUUGUUUUUGAUAAUUAGGAAUUUUAAAACGCAACUUUUUCUAACACUUUUCACGACCAGAUUUUUAAGGUCAAAAACAAAAAAGUGUUAUUUUAUUUUUCCCUUUAAUUAACCUAAGUUUGACCAGUAAUCGUUUUUAAUAAAUCUUAAAGGAUGCUUAACACCUUCCCUUUAGGAUAACUAGAAUCCUAACCUAGAAUCAUAUAAGUUAGUAGACCUUAAUUGGAGUUUAUUUUUAUUACUUAGUUAGUAAUUUAGGUAUCCUAAUUUACCUUUAAAAUAAUUAGGUAGCGACUCCUUAAGUUAAAUAAUUUAGGAAUCACCAAUAUGUUGUACACUAUUUGAUGAUAGUUAAAAUGAGGUUAACAAUGUAUUCAUGACAUACGAUUACACAAGCAUAUCAGGCAUAUUUUCUUAUUAUGAGUUCAGAUGUCGGUCAUGGAGGCUAUCAGAGUUUUAGUUUCAGGUGGUAUCUUUAUUACCCUUUUUAUCACAAUUAUUUAUGGUUUUACUUUCCGCUUAACAUACCAGUACAUUUUCAAUAUUACUGACGUCACAUUGCCUGAGACACGGCAUGUCGUGUUGUAGGUUCAGACAGAGGUUUUGAUCGACCUUUACAAUAGAGGUUGUUGUCUCAACUAAGGAUUGGUGAGCUUCUUUCUUCUUGGAGUUGUUGGUUAACUGGGUGCUUAAUUACCAUCCUAGCAGUAUCUGGAAAUUGACUUUUUGGAGGUAUUCCGGCGAAUAACAGCACGACAACACCGCCGCGACCACCAUCGAACCACCACAACACAACAUCAAAAACCCAGACCACCAGAUGCUGACCAUAAACGCCAUUAAUGGCAAACUUGCACACCAACUUCACGAGCCACCUGAUCUCAUCAAAGGAACACUACCACGUCGCUCUUAAACAACUAUUAAUGAGAAAUAAAAGCACUGUAUUCCGGAGUCACUUGCCAUUGAAGCUAGUCGAAUGGAGUUCAAAUUAUCUUUUUUAUUCAUUAUUGUGUAUAUUAACGAUGUUAGGUAAAUCUUAGGCCGUCUUGAUAUUAUUGUUUUGUUUUAUUAUUUCUCUAUAUAUCGCAUGUUUGUUU